rnacentral:rRNA from 1 species
AUUGAACGCUGGCGGCAGGCCUAACACAUGCAAGUCGAGCGAGCGGCGGACGGGUGAGUAAUGUCUGGGAAACUGCCUGAUGGAGUGGGAUAACUACUGGAAACGGUAGCUAAUACCGCAUACCAUCAGAUGUGCCCAGCUGUGAUUAGCUAGUAGGUGGGGUAAUGGCUCACCUAGGCGACGAUCCCUAGCUGGUCUGUGAGGAUGACCAGCCACACGGGAACGGAGACACGGUCCAGACUCCUACGGGAGGCCGCAGUGGGGAAUAUUGCACAAUGGGCGCAAGCCUGAUGCAGCCAUGCCGCGUGUAUGAAGAAGGCCUUCGGGUUGUAAAGUACUUUCAGCGAGGAGGCGUUACUCGCAGAAGAAGCACCGGCUAACUCCGUGCCAGCAGCCGCGGUAAUUC